rnacentral:rRNA from 1 species
UACAGAGGUCUCAAGCGUUGUUCGGAUUCAUUGGGCGUAAAGGGUGCGUAGGCGGUGAGGCAAGUCUGGUGUGAAAUCCCGGAGCUCAACUCUGGAACUGCACUGGAUACUGCUUUACUUGAGCACUGGAGAGGGAACUGGAAUUUACGGUGUAGCAGUGAAAUGCGUAGAGAUCGUAAGGAAGACCAGCGGCGAAGGCGAGUUCCUGGACAGUUGCUGACGCUGAGGCACGAAGGCCAGGGGAGCAAACGGGAUAGAGUACCCUCG